rnacentral:lncRNA from 1 species
CAGACUCCAUGAAUCCCACCACAUUAUUAUGCAUAAACCAAACUGCACUGGAUAUAUCCACAGGAGCCACAGGACUCUCAACAUUAGCCGCAGGAACCGCCUUUGCAGGUUUUUCUGGUGCAGGUGCCACUGGUGCUGGAGCUGGAGCAUGAGAAGCAAAAAUGUCCUUAGGGAGAAGAACCUUUUCAAUCUUAUAAAUGGCAAGCUGGUUGUCUGUGUAUACGGUGCCAGAUAAACUUGUAUUGGUAAGUCCUGUGGUUAUGUUCACUGAGUUUGGAUAACUUGUCACAUUAAGUGGUAACCUACUGCCUGUUCUAGCCCAUGUACCUAGAGGGUUACUUACAGUCUGCAACUGGGAAGUAGAGAGGAAUGUUGGAAUUACGUGGAACUUCACUAACUCAGACUUGUCUCCAUCACUUAGAGUGUUGAGAGUUCCUGAUUUGAGUUCCGAAAAUGCGCUAUCCGUUGGUGCAAAGAUGGUUAAACCAGUGCUUGAAUCAUUUAGCGCGGAGAACAAGUGGUUUCCUCUUGGGUGGAUCUCAAAAGGCGGAUAAAGAUCGUGAAGUGGCCAGCCUUCUCAAGGAUUUUGGUUACGUUGGUGAUGCCAUGCGGUGCAGCUGCCUGUGCUGGGGUUGCUGCUGGAGGUUGUGUCACAACCACUGCUGGUGCGUGCGCUGGGGCUGCAGCUGGUGACUGGGCAAAGGUAUAGGUGCAUUGGAGGAAAAGAAGGAAAAUAAAAAAAUGAGAUUGACUGUUGCUUCAUGUUUAUGUUUUUGGGCUAUAUGCUAGAAAUGAUACAAAAAUGUUAAUGUAAAUUGAGCUUGAUCUUAGUUAGAAAAGUGUUUGAUGUGUAAAGAAGGGACAGAGUCAGGUUUUAUAGUUGUUGGCAGAGGAUCAAGCUAGGUGCAAUGUACAAUUUUAGUUAUACAAUUAGGUAGCUAGUAUCUCAUCUUUUUCCGAAAGGUGGAGGGUAUCAAUGGAGAGGCAAGUUCAACAAUGCUGCAACAACUAAUUUUCUUGGAAAUGCAGGGAAAAAAAAUAGAUUAUAAAAAGUGGAUUUCAAGUGGGUGUGCCAGCAAAUGAAGAUAUCUAUGAUUGUCAAAAUUAUAAUUCUGAAUCAUCUCUGGCAGAACAUUUGAGCAUAGACUUCUGAACAUCAAAACAAAUCAUCUGUAAUGGCAGAGGAGUUUGACAUGAAAUCUCAACUGAUUCAUCUUUAAUAGCUUUGAUCUAGCUCCUUGAGCUUAAAAGAGUCGCAUCCUUGAAUCCAUGACAGAUUUCGAUAGACUACUUUCCAAAUUCACACGUCCAGAAAUCAAAUCUCACCCAUACCACCACUUGACAUGACAUGAUCAAGAUACACUUACCUUAUUAUGUACUUUAUUUGAUGUUUGUGGCAAGCCUUCUUUCAAGGUUUAUGCAAUCUUCGAGUAAGCUGACUUUUUAGGGAAACAAAGAGAGUCCUAAGAUAUCGACGCAGACAUAAACAACAAAAGAAAGACAGCAACUGCAUAGGAUCAACACGCAAAUUUCAAAUUUUGUUACCUUUCUAAACUAGAAAACCUGAAAAUAAAAAAAAAUGCAAUAAAAAUAUUUAAAAAACUAGAAAAUUUAAAAAUAAAAAGGAAAAAUUACAAAUCUAACCUGAAUAGCACCUUUUGGGUCUAGAUGUCUUCCAGACCUGCUGACCAUUACAUAUAUAGGCCUAUAUAGCAAAAUUUGAGCAUGAUUCAGUUGUGAAAUUGAAAGCUGUAAUUAUGGGUCUUUUUGUCAAGUCAAUCACUCUGCCCAUCCCAAAUAUUGUUUUGGGCUUUGUUCUUUACCAUCAGUCCAUAGACAUUCCUUCAAGACUAUCCAUGCGGCCCAGUGAGGGGAAUGACUGAUUUUGGAGUGUUGUUUGAAGCUACUGGCUAUAGAAAAUUGACUACUCUGAUAGUGAUUGGGCUGGUUCAGUCGAUGAUAUGAAGAGCACAACAGGUUGUGUUCGAUAUCGGUUCAGGUGCACUUUCUUCGGUGACCAAGAAGCAAGAACCGUGGCACAAUCCACUGGAGAAGCAGAGUGCAUAACUUCAGCAGCAACUAUGAAUCCAGCCAUACGGUUAAGGAAACUUGUCCAAGAUAUGGGGCAGCAACAGCAUGUAGCAACUAGAAUUCAAGUUGACAACAAGUCGGCCAUUGCAAUUGCAAUAGCAAAAUAUUCAGUUAGUCAAGGAAAAACCAAGCAUAUCAAAAUGAAGUUUCAGAGCUCAUGAUGUAGAGAAAGCUAAUGCGGUGACCUUUAGCUGUUGUUACGCAGAAAAGCAACUUGCAGAUAUAUUGCAGCGAGAGCUUCCACAAAUAUACAUCCUUACCUUCACUGCAAGCAUCUGCAUGUAAUAACAAACUUUUAUGAAAAGUUGUCAUUAAGAAGAAUAGAAGAAGCCUAUCCAGAAAAUACAUGAAGCAAGUUGAAACUAGAAUUAUUAUCCAUCACUUGCACACGGAACCAUCUGCAUAUACCAAUACAAGAGCUUACCUGUUAUAUUUGUUUCAUGAGUCCUGACAGGUAAUAUAGCAAGGAAAUUCUUUUUGCACCAGAAGUUUGCCAGCCCAAAGUAGGAGAUAAUAUAGCAGUCUAGUAAAGGUUGUUCUGUAUCAGAAGCCUUGUUUUUUGACAAUUAGCAUUUUCUUCUCUUUUGAAUAAUUGAAUUGUCAAUUGUCUUCUAACCUUAUAGCUUAAAGAAAACUACAUUUCGGUUCGAAACAUACUUUUGUGAAUUCCAAAAUCACAAUGAAACAUACUUGUAUAAAUUAAUGUGUAGCUCUAACUUAUCACUAGCUUCAAAACGUCAAUACUACAAGAUGAAGGAAAAACACAGAUGGGUUGCAUUAAUCCUGCUGUGCAGCACACAAAGGCGCUGCGAAUGAGCAAGUGACCUCACACGCCAGUCCCCAAUGCUCUUUUAUGUCCAAGAAUGGAAUGUUUGCUUAAAUCAAACCGGAUAAGUCCUUGAAGCAGUGUUGACAGUAAAGUAACUAAGCUUUAGCUCCUUUAGCUUUAAAGAACCAAACUCUUUACUUUCUUAUUCAUUCCCUACAAAUUUCAACAGAUAAGCUUUCCAAAUACGUACCCAGAAAUCAUCUACAAAGUCAUCCUAUUGAAGAAAAAAGCAAAGGAAACAAUGACCUCAGAGACUGGAGCCUCAUGGAGGAAUGGUCUUAUUUAAACAAAAGCUAGGGAAUAAGUAGAUGGCACCAAGGUGAUAGGAAAUGAAAUGAAAUGAAAAAACAAGAUUGACUAUAUAUAUAUAUGUAUGUACGUACGUAUGUAUUCCAAUUUGACCAAGAAAUUAAUCAACAGCUCAGAAUUCAACCUUAAUCACAAACCCAAAUCAUACAAACUGGAUUCAAGGUAAAAUCAGAAUUAUUCAACACACAAUCGGCCGGCGCAGCAAAAUAAAGCACCAAACCGGACACAACCCUACAUAUAUCAUAUCAAGAUUCGAAAUACUUCUACAUUACAGAGAAAACAUUGCAGAAGCAAGUAACCCAACUGAUCCCACCACAAGAUUAUGAGUAAAGAUAAGUGCACUAGAUAUAUCCACAGAAGCUGCAGGACUCUCUACAGUAACUGCAGGAACUGCCUUUGUUGGCUUUUCUGGUGCAGAUGCCACUGGUGCUGGAGCUGGAGCAUUAGAAGCAAAAAUGUCCUUAGGGAGGAGCACCUUUUCAAUUUUAUAAAUGGCUAGCUGGUUGUCUGUGUAUACGGUGCCAGAUAAACUUGUAUUGGUAAGUCAUGUGGUUACGUUCACGGAGUUUGUAUAACUUCUGACGUUAAGUGGUAACCUACUACCUGUUCCGGCCCAUGUUCCGAGAGGAUUGCUUACGGUCUGGAACUGGGAAGUAGAUAGGAAUUUGGAACUACGUGAAACUUCACUAACUCGGACUUGUCUCCAUCACUUAGCGUGUUGAGAGUUCCUGAUUUAAGUUCCGAAAAUGCGCUAUCCGUUGGUGCAAAGAUGGUUAAACCAGUGCUUGAGUCAUUUAGCGCGGAGAAUAAGCGGUUUUCGUCUUGGGUGGAUCUCAAAAGGCGGAUAAAGAUCGUGAAGUGUCCAGCCUUCUCAAGGAUUUUGGUGACGUUGGUGAUGCCAUGUGGUGCAGCUGCCUGUGUUGGGGUUGCAGCUGGAGGUGAUGCAACCACUGCUGGUGCCUGAGCCGGGGCUGCAGCUGGUGACUGGGCAAAGGUAUUGGGACAAUGGAGGAAAAGAAGAAAAAUUGAAAAUGAAGAGAGUAAGUACUGUGGCUUCAUCUUUAUGUUGUUAAGAUAUAAUGCUAGAAACAAUGCAAAAAUGCUAAUGUAAACUGAGCUUGAUUUUUGUUAGAAGUGCUCGAUGUGCAUAGAGGGGACAGUUUGAGGUUAUAUAGUUGUGAGCAGAGGAUCAAGUUAGGUGCAAUAUUAUACAAUUUUAGUUACACAACUAGGUUGCAAGUACCUUAUCUUACUCCAAAAGGUGGAGGGUCAUCAAUGGAGAUGGAAAUUUGACAAUGCUGCAGCAGCUACUUUGCAUGGAAAGUAGGAGGAAAACGAAACAAGAAUCUCAGAAGUAGAUUUCAAGUGGCAGAACAUUUGAGCAUACUUCUUAACAUUAUAACAAAAUCAUGUCUCAACUGCCUUCAUCAUGUAUAUAUACAAGCUUUUAUUCUUCUACCGACUCUAACCACUUAACUCUACUGCUUUUCUAACUAAUUAACUAUUAACAGUAAAGACCAAUCGUUAUUCUUUCAGUGCUGUUAUUGCUUCUUGUUGUUCUUCUUCCAGCCUUCAUCAUGUCUCCUAGUUCGUAACAUUGAGUAACAUAUAACUUUUUUUUUCAGUUUUAUUUAAAAUAUUUUUUAUACUCUUAAUAUAUUUUUUAUAUUUUAAAAAAAUAAUAUUGAACCGCUGGCCAAUAUAAUAGUUGGUUAGCAAAUCACGAGGCAUCUCGCGGCAAGAAGAUGUCACGAGCAUUGGAUUUUGUUUUCAAGCCACUAAAACCCUUCAUUGUGGAUCCGUUUUCUUGCAAUAAGAAUUAUGGACUAGUGUUUAUGGGCUUUUAAGGCCUAAUAGGCCGGCUGGGUUAGUGCUUAUGGGUCUCAAUGCAUUCUGGUCCGGGCUUAAAUCAUCCUUGGGUAAAUGUUAAUAAAUUGGGCUAUGAUUCUUUAUAACGUGGGCUAAUUUGUUUUGGGUUGUACUCUUGGGUUAAAUGGGUUUUGAUUAAGUGUAAACAUGUAAAACAAAUGAUGAAAAAAACAAUAUAAAAAAUAACAUCAAAUUUAUGUGAGUAUAUAUUGUGCAUUAUGGCCAAGUCUUUCAAAAUAAAAUAUUUUUUUUCAUGUUUCAUAACUGUAAAUAAAAUAUUGUGUUAUUUUUUUUAAAUAAAAGGCAUUUGUUUACAUAAAAAAAGAAGAGGAAAAAAAUAUAUAUAUUUUAGCAUUCUAAAAAAAAUACGUGUUUUAGCACAAAAAAAGGGAGUUUUUAUUUUGCAUUGGCAUCUAAAUAAAAUGUUCUUGUGUUAUUUUUUAUUUAUUUUAUUAAAAAAAUAUAUAUUACAUGUUUGGAUUUCAUAACAAGUUUAUUAAGUCUAUUAAGAAUUGAUCAAAAUCAAAAGAUACAUUGGAUCUACAUAUCCAAUAAACUAAAUAAAAAACAACUCUGGUUUUCUAAAAAAAUAAUAAUAUGUUAUUUACCUUUAAUGCAAAAGGAAACCUAGAAAUAAAAUUUGAGAACCCUAGGCGUUAACUUGGAAACUAAAAAUUCUAACUUUAAUUUAGAUUUUUCCGAUAAGUCUCUUUAUUUAGGAUAAAUAGUUUUUUCUUCUUCUUCUUCUUUUUUUUUUUUUUUUGUGAACGACAAACCUCCUUCUUUAAAGGAUUGAUAAGAGAUUUUUACAAAUGAUCAAAUUGAUGCAUCUUUUAUUUUUGAGGACCAACAUCAAAUUUUCCUCAAAUAAUUAGAAAUAAAUUGGAAAUAAACUAAAAAAAAAUAGAACAAUCAAAAAGAUAAAAUUAAAAGAAAACACAAAGUAAAGAUAACCUUUCAUAGAAAAAAAAAAUCAAUGUGACAUCAUUCUUUCUUUAAAUAUAAAUAAUUUUUUAAUUGAAUUUUUAGAACUAAUAGAUCUCGUAACCAUGUAAAAAUCCAUGGUUGAUCAUAAAAUCGAUGUAGAUUAGUAAAAAGAAUUAGUUUAUGGCACAUUAUUUUGUUGUUUUUCUGUUUUUUAAUUUGUUUUUUUACUUGAAAAAAUAUUAAAAUAAGUUUUUUUUUACAUCAAUAUAUCAAAACAAUUUAAAAAUAUUAAAAAAAUAUUAAUUUAAUGUAGAAAAAGAAAAAAAACUCAUUUUUUAAAAAAUAUUUUUAAAACGGAAAAAAUAUAUAGUUUUUGGUAUCUUUGUAACCCUUUGUUUAAAAAUAAUAAUAAUAAAAAAAGAGGGGUUCCAGCCAAGCUAAAUUUGCAUCCCUUCUGUCUAAUCUUUGUUUUAAAGACUAGACACGCGAGUAGGAAAACACGCGAGUAGGAAACUCGGUUUAUGUGACUUGAAAACAUUAAAAGCAUAAUAUAAAUUGAAAAUUUUGAAUUGAGAUAGUUCACAAAUAUAAUUUCACAAUAUAGUAGUGAUAUUGUACAAGUCUCAAUAAUUUCAAAAAAUUUUAAUUUGAAAUAAUAUAUUAGAUACUAAUAUAAAAUUAUCUAUUCAGCUUCACCAAUUAUUGCUCCUUUAAUUUCACUAUAUCAUGAGUUAAUCUAAAAACUUUAAAGGCUUCAUUAAAAUCAUAUUGUUUUUGCACAGGACGUGUCUAGUACGUACUGCUGAUAUGUCUAUUCAACAUUAUUAAGAUUGAAAUAUUGUGAUCUCUGUUGAAAGCUAAAUGGUUCAAUGGAGCUUAACUUGCUAUUCGUUUUCGUUCUCCACGUGAAGAACAAAUCUAAACUUGUUCUCGUGUAUGGUACGUUUGAAUUGUCUAUGGCAGCAAGCUCCUCCAAUAUUAUUAUUCAUCCAAAUUAAUAUUUGAGGUCUUCCUUUAUGCGUGUGUGGUAGGAGUGAAUUGUCGAGUGCAUUUAAUUCCUUUUAUGUCUUCUUGCACUGAAUUGUCAAGUGCAGCUUAUCUUAAUUUGUCCUCCAUCACGCACUCUAACAUCGAAGCUGGGCUCCAGCCUUUUUGGCUGUGAAAAAUCAGUAACAUAUAUAUUUUACUUCUUUUACAUUACAUUUGAUUUCAGAUCCCAAGAAUGUGAAAUUAUAAUAUUUCACAUCAAAAAUGAAUGUUCAGAGCCAAAACUUUAUGGGUAUAUCAGUCGCUGACCUGUUGUAUGUUUUUUUAGAGCGUUAGGCUCUGAAGUGGGCUCGCGUAACUAGGAACAAAAUCAUGAGGGUAGUAAGGCCCAAAACGAACAAUAUACUGCAGGUUGGGUCGGACUAUUACAAUUAUCAACCUUUAAUUAGCCACUAUAAAUCAAGAAUUAAAUCUAGAAAAAUCAAGGGUUUUUUAGAUUAAUUUUUCAUUCAACAAUAAUUUGUUUAAUUAAUAUAAAUUUCCAUUAGAUUCUUUGAUAUUAUAUCAUAAACGUGAUGACUAAACAAUUACGAGUUUGAAUUUUAUUUAUUUUUAAUUAAUAAAAAUAAAUAUAAAAUAGUAUGAGUUUGUGUAAAUUUUACCUAAAACAUUUUUAUUUAAAGAAAUAUAUUAAAAAAUAAUAUAAAUUUUUUUUUGAAAAGAGAUUAAAAAAAAUUCCAAAUCAUGAAUAAUUUAUUCUGCCUUUCCAAAUCAUAUGAUACGACAAUAUUGUGGGCUCUCCCUGCUAGUGUGCUGGCCCUGUAGAUACUGACAAUGUUGACUUUCUGUUGUACACUUAUUAUGUAUUCCGUGGAAUUCUUGAACAAGAAUACGAUGAGAAAUCAUACUAUUACAGCUUUUCUACGAGGUUGACGAGAAAGUUACCAAAUUUUCCACUGAAUAGAUAAUGGAGGGCCCACGUUGUCAAAUUCAAGCAAUUGAGAAGACUAUCGAUCACCCUUAACGACAAGGGAAGAUAAUGGAGGGCCAAAGUUGGAUAAUAAUAUAAAAUUAUCUAUUGAGUUUCUCCUGACCAUUUAAAAUUUUAAUUAUAUACCAAAUUUUAGCUGCAACUAUUUAAAGAUUAAAAUCAUUAUUUUCAUUUUAUGCUUAUUCACCUCUAAAUAGGAAGAAAAUUUUGUUUUAUACUUUUAUUUUAUUUUUAUUUUUAUCACUUUUUUAAUACAAAAGGAUAUUUGAACUCAAGACUUUCUUUUGUAAGAAAAGAAAUUGAGAACCUAAUGGCAAUUGAACUCAAUACCAGAAAAGUGAUAAAUACAAAUAAAAAUACCGAUAAAAUUUUUCCAUCAAUAUAUUGCGAUGUCUUUACCAACAAAAUUUUACAUCUCUAUAACUAUCGGUAAACAACGACAAAAAUAUUUCCUCAGUAUAUACUGAAAAAAUUGCAAUGGAAAAAUAAGAAAUGAAGAAAAAAACAAAACAGUAAAAUGACAUGUAACUUUUACAAAUGACAUUACCGACAGAAUUAACUCGAUGGUAAAGCAUGUCCAUAAAUAUGCUGAAGAAAAAACUUCCUCGAUAUAUGCCAAGGGAAUUAUGGAGGGUAUUACAGUGGGAUUCAAAAAAGACAAAUCAUAUGGUGACAUGAUAUUUGUACCGAUAAAAUUAUUCUAUUGGUCAUUUCAUCAAUAAUAUUUAAUUUAUGACUUGACAAUCGACCCAUCCCCCUUCCAUGUAUCCUUCUUUGUUAUCCAUUUUUUUCGGCAUCAAACAGCCACCCCCUCCCCCCAAUAUCAACACAAUUCAAUCUCCCACAAUAAAUUCGACCACCACAACACUCAGUUUGUCAAUAUUCGUGUUCUAAUUCAAUUUUUUUAGGAUUCUCCACUUUAGUUAAGUAAAUCUAUCCUUUUUUUACUUGUUUUCUAGUUUUUUUUCUCAUACAAAUUUGUUGUAUGGAUUUAGGAUUUGUACAUGUUAGGAUUUGUUUUAGAUUUUAUAAAAUUAUAUUUGUUUGUAAAUUGAUGAAACUUAUGUCGAAUUGUUUUCUUAGGUGUUUUAUGAUGAAAUAAAUAAUAACUUAUUUAACGAGUUUAUUUUAUAUUUUGUCAAUUUUAAUGCUGAGUUGAAAUUUUCGUUAAAUGUGUAGAAAUUUGAAGCUAUAUAGAUAACUUAUAAUGAAUUAAGAGUACUAUUAAAAUAGAUUGAAAGUUUGAGCUAAACUAAUAUUUUUAUAAAUUUAUUUAGUUAACGUAAUUAAUUAAUUAAUACAUCUUGUCAUUAUUAUUUUAUAUAGGUUUGAUAUAAGUACCAGAUGAUCAUUCAUGGAUGUAUCGAGAUUCACCCCAAGGAUUGCGGAGGAUGGGUUAUUGUAAUAAGGUUCAAGGUUUUAUUAAUUAUGCACUAUCUAAUCCGAGAAAUAUUAGUGGAGGCGGUAUUAGAUGUCUAUGCAAGUGGUGUAAAAAAAAAAGUUUCUCGAUUCAACUAUUGUAAUGAUGCAUCUUCUACAAAAAUAGCUCAUGGAGAAAUACUUGUGUUGGUAUACAUAUAAAGAACUAUAUGUUCAUCAUGAUACCAUGGUAUAAAGGAUGGUUGGGUCAACUUCUAAUUCUAGCAAUAUGCAUGGAUUUGUAGAUGACAACAGUAAUCAUAAUAGGAAUAUGGUUAUAGAUAUGAUGAGAAUAAAUCAGGGUCAUGUUGGUCAAUAUCUAAUUCUAGAUGAAGAACCAUUGUAGAGUUAUAGUUAAGGAUGUGAUGAGAAUGUUAUACUACCUUGAAAAUACAGAGUUGACUGACUGCAGAACAUGUGGGCAUUCUUGUUAUAAACCCAGAACUGGUAGGGGAAGGAAUCUUGUCCCACAUAAAAAAUUUAGAUACUUUCCAAUCACAUCUAGACUACAGAGGUUAUUCAUGUCAUCAAAAACUGUUAAACAUAUGACAUGACACCAUUCAUAUGAUACGAUGGAUAAAGUGAUUGUGCACUCUUUCAAUGGUGAAGCCUGGAAACACUUUAACAAUAUGCAUCCUCAGUUGUUAGUGGAAUCAAGGAACAUGCAUCUUGGGUUAUGUAUAUUAGAUUCAAUCCAUUCAGGUUAUUUGCUGCUACCUAUUCUUGUUAGUCGGUUAUACUCACGAUUUACAACUUGUUAUUGGGGAUGUAUAUGAGGUUAUAGUUCAUGUUUUUAUUUAUGGUCAUACCUGGUCCUAAUAGUCUAGGUUGGAAUAUAGAUGUUUGAUUUUUACCGUUGAUUGAUGAGUUGAAACAGUUGUGGUCAUCCAGGGCUUGGACUUGUGAUGAAUCGAGGAAAUAGAAUUUUAUGAUGAAUGUAGCUUUUUAGUAGACUAUCAAUAAUUUUCUAGCUUAUGGAAUGGUUUAUGAUUGGAGCACGCAUGAAAAACUAGCAUGUCAAUAUUGUAUGAAAAAUAACAAGGCAUUCACGCUGACAAACGACGGUAAAACAUCUUUUUUUGACUGCCACCGACAGUUCUUACCAACAAAUCAUNNNNNNNNNNNNNNNNNNNNNNNNNNNNNNNNNNNNNNNNNNNNNNNNNNNNNNNNNNNNNNNNNNNNNNNNNNNNNNNNNNNNNNNNNNNNNNNNNNNNUGAAGAAUUAUAUGACGUGGUGUCAAAGUAUAGUGAUAUUGUGUUUGUUUUCAAUCUAAUAAGCAGAAGUUUUCUGGAUUUGGUUUGACUCAUAAUUGGGUAAAACGAAAUAUUUUUUAAGAGCUUCCUUAUUGGAAGAUCAAUCUCUUCCGUCAUAACCUUGAUGUCAUGCACAUAGAAAAUAACAUGUUUGAGAACAUUUUCAACAUGGUUAUUGAUAUAAAGGGGAAGAUAAAAGACAACAUCAAGGCUAGAAUGGAUAUAACUUUGUUUUAUGAAAGAAUGAAGUUAGUUUAUGUUGGGUCACAAGUCGCAAAGCAUAAAGCCAUCUUCGCUUUAGAUAAGAAUGCAUAGUUACUUGUCUACCAAUGGCUUAAAAGUCUAUGUUUUCCUGAUGGAUAUACUUUGAACAUAUCAAGGUUAGUGAAUUUGAAGGAUUACAAAUUGUAUGGAAUGAACAACCAUGACUACCAUGUGUUUAUGCAAACACUCAUUCCAUUAGCUUACCGAGAUUUAUUGCCAAAUAGAAUAUGGGAUGCACUCACGGAGAUCAAUUAUUUUUUUAGAGAUAUAUGCUCCAACAAGUUGCAAAUAUAACAUAUGGAAAGGCUUGAAACAAAUAUUGUUCAGACAAUAUACAAACUUAAGAUGAUAUUUCCUUUAUUGUUUUUCGACUCGAUAGAGCAUCUACCCAUACAUUUACCAUUUGAGGCAAAAGUUGGAGGCCAAGUCCAAUAUAGAUGGAUGUCUUCAUUCGAGAGGUUAGGGAUUAUACAUGCAUCAUAAUUAAAAUUUUAUUCUCUUUUCUUGCAUAAUUCAAAAAUUCAUUUAAUUCAAUAUAGGUGCUUGUUCCACCUUAAAAGAAGAGUUCAAAACAAGGCACAUGUUGAGGCUUCAUAUGCAAGGCCUAUAUUGUUGAAGAGAUCUCAAUAUUUUUCUUGUACUAUUUCGAGCCUCAAUUGAGAACAAGAAUCAACCGCGUUUCAAGGCAUAACGAUGGUGAGGAAAUGACUUCGAGUGAGAACUUGUCAAUAAUCUCUCAUCUUGGACGACCCGUUCCAAAAAAUGUUGUGAAGGAAGAUAUUUGUCAGAAAUUAAAUUCAUACAAACACAUAAUUAUGUGAUAUUUAACUGCGAUGAAUUGAAACUUUUUAUUCAGUAAGUAUACUACUUAACAUGUCAUUAUUUUCAAACAAUUUAUCUCUUAUAAUAUCAUAAACUGAUACAUUGUUGAAUUCUUUGUGGGCAACAUCGUCAAUUUUUACUAUUCCAUCAUAAUUAACUGAAUCCUAAAUCUUUCAAUUACUCAUUAACUAUUCAUAGUUGUACUUCAUGUACCAAGUUUAUCAAUUGGGAGAGAAUGCUAGUAUUAUUUUGUCUUUACUAAGUUCGGGUCCUGAAAGAAAGGUGAAGUGUUACAACGGGCAUUUCAUCAUUAGACAAGUAUUUUAUACUGAGGAAUAUGGGCAGAUUAGAAAGACAUAUAACAAUGAGUUUGAAAUUGACUACUAUAAAAAGUUAGAAGAGGCCAUUGAAUUGCAAUAUUAUAACAAGCAAAAUAAAAUAUUUUUAUUCAAGUGUUAUUAGUAUGACACCACUAACAGAGGAGUCAUAGUAGAUGCUCAUCAUGGUUUGGUUGAAAUUAAUUGAAAUGCUAGACUCCGCAAUGUUAACGAUGUUUUUGUUUUCGCCAAGCAAUGUCAACAAGUUUAUACACAUAUAUCCCUUUCCUUUAGAAAGAAUCGUUCAAGAGCUGAUUGGUUAUCUAUAGUGAAAAUCAAACCCAAUGGUCAUUUCGAGGUUGUUUAGGAUGACAGCGAUGAAUUAAUUGUGGGAGAUUAUGUCUUUCAACUUAGUGAGUUAGUUGAUUCAUAUUGAGUUGCUCCAUCUAAUGACUUGGAAGAAAACUCAAAUUUUCGCAUCACCGAUAAUAUUUUUGUUGAUGUUGACGUUGAUCUUGAGAAAUUCAAUGAUGUUUUGAGCUCCAGAUGACAUACACAAGUCAAUGAAGAUGAUGACGAUGAAAUCAAUGUAGAAGAUUGCGAUGGAGAUGAGGACAAGUCAAUUGACGAAGAAGAAGACAAUUUCGAUUAAUUUGCACAACACGAAUGUGUAGUGCCAUAAACUAUAAUGUAAUUUUCAUGGAUGAAAUUCACUUUAAUAUAAUGACAAUGAUGUUAAUUUAUUACUAAAUGACAAGGAAAUAUUUAUUUUAUUAUGGUGAUGUGAAAUGAUUUUAUUGUGUUGUGUGUGCAGUUGUGAAUUUAAGUACUUGCAGGAUGAAGAGAUAGGAAAUACAAAUACAAUUUGGCAUCAUAUAAUGUUUUACAUCGAUGGAAUGUACAUUACACACGGGUAUACCGAUGGAAUGUUUUUGUCAAAAAUUUUCCGAGAGCUAUGAGACUGUUCACUUCUCAAUGCAUUGAUAAUUAUUGUUCAUUACGCAUGGGUAUACCAACACAACGUGUAUACCGACAUAGUAUGUCUGUCGGUAUUUUCCCGAGAGCUAUGAGACUGUUCACUUCUCAAUGCUCUGAUAAUUAUUGUUCUUUUAAUUGUUCACUUUUGUUUCCCGAUGAAAUCACCGAUGAAAUGAAAAGUUGUCGAUAAUAUUUGGAGAGUUUUCUAAAGAUUUUCCUACAAGUUGAAAAUUUUCAUUUGACCAUACUAACAGAAUCACCGAUGAAAAUAUUAAAAAUAUUAAUAUAUAAUGUUACGUUUGUGAUUCCAAUGGUAAAAAGCAUCCAGAUACCAAGACCAUUAAAUUUCAAUUUAACUUUACAAACGACAUCACCGAUGAAAAUAUUAAAAAUAUUAAUAUUUAAUGUUUUGUCGGUAAUUCGUUGGUAACACUAAAUUAUAAGACAAGAAUCAGAACAAACAAAGCUUGAUCUUCUUCUCUCUUCUCUUCUCUCUCUCCUUCUGAGCCGAAAUCAAGCAUCAUCUUCUCUUCUUAUCCUUAGGUAUGUUGUCUUUUUUCAUUUUUCAUUUUUUUUUUGGGUUUAUUAACAAUCUCUUUUUUUGUUUUUAUUUUUUAAAAUUAUCAGUCGAAAUUAAGCACGUCAUUAAGGUAAUAUUUUUUCAUUCAUUUUCUUCUUUUUGUGUUUUUUUUUUUUUUUGCAUUAUUUUUGUUUUUUGUUAUUAUUUAUGUUAAAUUUUGUGUUCUUAAUAAUUUUAUGAAUUAAUAGUUAUGUUGAAUUUUGCAGAGUAAAAAUAUUUAAGAAAAAAAUGAUUAUUUUUACUUUAAAUUAUUUUUUACUUUAAAUUUCAACAGAGCAUCAUGCGUUUCCAAAACACACGAACAAAGGAAGGUUCAAUCCUGCUCAUCAUGUAAAUGGUUUUUUGUUAAAUGAACCAGAUGUCACAAAACGAUAUUAUUGAAGCUUCAAUCAUGGUUGAAUGGUAGCCUUCAUCGAUAGUAUUGGGAAUGAGGACAAAUAUAUAUCACAAUUACCUGUGAAUAUUAAUGGGUGGAGCAAUGAGCUGUCUCUAUGUUUUUCAUUUGUUGAUUCUACUUUCCGUCCAGAAAAAGUCACAGACAGGCACAUUGAAGGAGUACAUGGAUCUACAAGAUUCCACAAUGAAAGUUUCACCAACCAAUAGACUGUUAUCGUGUUCUUUGGGUUGGAAAUUCUUUGGGUGGGCCUUGUUGCUAGCUUCUUACGGUUGAUUAUUUUGCCUACGGAAGCUCUUGUUUCUUGAAUUUGAUAGCGAGUGUUUGAUAAGACUUCGGCAAAAUCUAUCAUCAAUUCUCAAAAAGAAAAAAAAAAAAAAAAAAACUUUUCUAUACCUUUUUCACAAUGAAUAUUUUUUUCUUUUAAUUUUAGUUAUUGUUCUUUUAAUUUUUUCAGCGAUAACUUAGAAUUUUAUUCCAUGGUAUUGAUUUUCAAUUUAAAGUCAGAAUAUUCUCAAACCCUUCAUAUAUGUGACAUCAUGCAAAGAAAAAUAAAUUCUAAUGUAUAAAACAGUGCCAACAUAAUUUGAAAGAAAUAAAGUUUGAUGAUGAAAUUCAUAUUACAAAAAUUUAUUGUUCCAGUUGAUAAUUGAAAAGAAGUAGCUAAACACUAGGAGAAGAGAUCUCCCAAACUUAUUGUGCAAAAUGCCUCAGGCAGUGGAGGCCACUUAGCUGUAAGAUCCAAAUAAAUUUUUUCCAUCGUAGGCCGAGAUUGGGGAUUGGGAUGCAAGCAUGCAAGUGCAAUUUUCAUCAUGUGGACAACGCCCUCUGCUGCUCCUUUUUUAGGAAGCGAGAUGCGUUGGUCUAACACAUCCUUCAAUAGUGCAUGUUGAGCAAUCGGUGGCAUCGAUGAUGACGACGAAGAUCCUGGUGAUAAGAGUGCUGAAAUGAGGUCGCCUGGGUGCCUUCCUGUCAUCACCUCCAUUGUUACCACUCCGAAGCUAUAGACAUCACAUUUUUCAGUCACUUUCAUUGUGUAAGCUAGCUCUGCCAAAUUAAAAAAAUUGAUUAUGGUUAGUUUUAAUCAAAUAGUUGAAAGAAAAGACUUUAUAAUAUAUAAAAGCUAAAAAAGCACUAUUAUUUUCACUAUAACACAUUAGUAACUUGAUGUUGAAAUAAAGCUACGCACCUGGAGCAGUAUAUCCAAAAGUACCUGCAAAUGAGGUCCAAUUGGAUGAGUCAGGCAUCAACAGUCUAGCUGUGCCAAAGUCGGAGACGUGUGCUUCAUAUUCCAAGUCCAGAAGGAUAUUAUUGCUGGUAAUGUCUCGAUGAAUGAUUGGAGGACAGCAAGAAUGGUGCAGGUAGGAUAAAGCUCCAACCACCCCUUUCACAAAAUUUAGCCUUUUCAUCCAAUCGAACUCAAUUGCUUGUUCCUCACUGGUUAUAAUCUUUCUCAAGCUUCCUCUUUCAAUGAACUCAUAAACCAAAAAAGAAUGCUUUGCAUGUGAGCAAAAUCCAUACAUUUUCACAAUAUUUCGAUGUCGAAUAUUUGCCAACACGCAAACUUCCUUUUCAAAAGCUUUAAAAUCGGACAACUUUUCUGUUUGUGACCGGUGAAGUUUCUUCACAGCAACCACCUCUUCUGUUGGCAUCACGGCUUUAUAAACAGUUCCAUAUCCUCCUUCGCCAACGCAGUAGUUGGAGUUGAAUUCCUCUGUAGCUUCAACGAUAUUCUCAUACAACUUCUUCCCAUCAUGGCCCAAUAUCGUGAAUAUGUUUCGAUCUUGCUCAUUUUCCGGCUCAGGUUUUCUCUUCCUAGCUCUUUUGCAGAGAAUGAAUAAAGCUCCAAUCACAACAAACACUAAAAGCAAGCUUCCUAAAAGAGGGAGUACAAUCAAAAUCACAAGUUUGUUGCUCUUUCUCUUAACAGUUGUGCUGCUUUUUGGAAGAUUGCACGGCUUUAGACCACUGGCGUUGCCACAUAUACCCAUAUUAUCCCUUAAUGCCUCAAAUGAAGCGUUGUGGAAGGCUUUGAUAUCGGGAAUGGGGCCUUGUAGCUUAUUGGAUGAUAUAUCCACAGUUGUUAAGCUUAACAUGUCUCUGAAAGUGCUCGGAAUCCGUCCAGAAAGCAUGUUGUGAGAGACAUUCAGAGUUUCCAACUUUUGCAGUUGCCCAAGUUGCCUCGGUAUCUCUCGAGUCAGGAAAUUGCAGCUAAGAUCAAGAUCUUGAAGAGAAAGUAGAAAGCCUAUCUCACCUGGAAUGCUUUCACUAAAUUUAUUACCGCUGAGGUUCAGCAACAAUAAAUUUGAGCAUUCCCCAAGUUGUUUUGGAAUCAAUCCAGUCAGAUUAUUAGAUGCUAAAUUAAGGGUUUGAAGAUUGGAAAGCAUCUUAAUAUCUAAGGGAAUGGCACCUGAAAGAUGGUUGUUGUUAAGAAUAAGCUUGUACAAUAACUUCAACCCCCCUAAAUCUUUUGGGAUGGUUCCUUUUAACUGAUUUGAUGACAGAUCAAUCAAGCGUAAUUGAGUAGCCUUCCCAAGCUCUGGUGGUAUCUCACCAGAAACAUUAUUGUUUGAGAUUCUAAGGCUUGUCAUGUUACGACAACCUCCCCAUUUGGAAGAAAGCCCACCAUAAAAAUUAUUGUAACUCAAAUCAAUAUAAUCCAGAUGUGGAUAGACACCAAAAACCUCUGAAACAUUUCCUGUUAAUUGAUUCGAUUCAAGUCUUACUCGGUGUAAACGAGUACAGUUUUUCAAACUUUUCGGGAUUGAACCUGAGAAGUUGUUGUAGCAAGCAGUAAAGUUUUCCAAUACUCCUCCAUGGCAUAACUCUAGUGGCAAAUGACCCGUGAGUUCAUUGAAACCAAUAUCCAAAGCAAUCAAUUGGGUGAGAUUUUUCAUCUCUACGGGCAAUGGGCCGUGAAGUUUGUUUAUACUUAGAUCAAGUGUAGUGAGAGUUGUCAAGUUUCCAAUUGAAUUAGGAAUUCUACCGGUUAAAACAUUAUUAAGCAAGGUAAGUUCACUGAGAGACUCUAGCAACCCAAUUUCUUGAGGAAUGGAACCAGAAAGUUUGUUAUCCCAAAGAUAGAGUAUGUAUAGGUUUCUCAAAUUUCCAAUAGAAGAGGGGAUCAAACCAGUGAGAUUAUUGUAUUCUAGUUGUACUUCAAUGAGCAUGGUCAUGUUUCCAAUAGAAAAAGGGAUGGGACCAGAGAGUUGGUUCUGGAAAAUGUAAAGGGAAGAUAAGUUUCUCAAGUUUCCAAUGGAAUAAGGGACUUUAAAGGGCAAAACAUUGCUUGACAAGGCGAUUUCAUUGAGAGAUUCUAGCAACCCAAUUUCUUGAGGAAUGGAACCAGAGAGUUUAUUAUCCCAAAGAUAAAGGAAGGAUAGGCUUGUCAAGUUUCCAAUAGAGGAUGGGAUCAAACCAGUGAGAUUAUUUUGUUGUACUGAUAUAUCAACAAGCAUGGUCAUGUUUCCAAUAGAAGAAGGGAUGCAACCAGAGAGUUGGUUCUGAAUAAGGUGAAGCAAAGAUAAGUUUCUCAAGUUUCCAAUGGAAUAAGGGAUUUCACCAGUUAUUAUAUUAUAUGACAAAUCAAGUUGAUUGAGAGACUUUAGCAAUCCAAUUUCUUGAGGAAUGGAACCAGAAAGUUUGUUAUCCCAAAGAUAAAGUUUGGAUAGGUUUGUUAAAUUUCCAACAGAGAAGGGGAUGAAACCAGUGAAAUUAUUUUCAGCUAAAGAAAUAGUGAAAAGAGACGUCAUCUUUCCAAUUUCAUGUGGGAUGGUUCCAGAAAGAGAAUUGUUCUGAAGGUCAAGAGCAAAAAGAUUACGGAAGGAUGAGAAGUUGAAAUCAUAAAGCGUACCUCUCAAGCCAAAGUCUGCAAGGCUCAAAUUGGUGACGCUUCCAGAAUUGUCACAAGUGAUUCCAAUCCAGUUAAUGCAUGGGCUAAUGCCGAACCAGGAAGAAAGGAGAGAUUGACUUUGGUUGUCAAGACUGGCUUUCCAUUCGAGAAGAGCCUCAGCUUCUGUAUUAUUACCAAACAGUGAAGUUGUGGAGGGAGUGUGUUCAGCUAAAGUAAAGUAAGAAGAAAAGUUGAAUAUGUGAAGGAGCAAAAACAGGAUGUGGAGAAAGAACGAGAAGAAUGGUUUGUUUAGUAAGGACGUCGUCAUGGUGUGUUUUCAAGAGAUAUCGGAUAUGGUUUGCUAUGGUAGAUUAGGCUCUUCCAUGGAGAGGUAUUUAUAGGAAGGAAAACAUGAUUUGAAUUUUUUUAUAUAAAAAAUAUUCAUUGAAUAUUACAUCUCUUCUCUAAUUAAGUUGAAAUUAACUAGACUAUGAUUGCUCUCGUGCUUGACACGGUUGACUAAUUUCUGAUAAAAUUCCAAUUGAACUUUCUUUCCCCUUUCCAUAUCAUAGUUUGGGACAUUAACUGGAAAGUCCUACGUUCACAUGCUCACUGCCUUGUGUACACUUUUGCUUUUUCUAUAAAUUCUCGUGCUUGACAAGUAGACAGAAAAAUGAAAUAGAUAAACUAUUUCCAACAGGAGAUGAGAUUGACAGAGAACGUUAAUCGCUAUGAAAGUACUGAGGGAUCAUAGAGAAUAUAGCUUCUUUAUGACCAAUUGACUAUGAAACUAAAUAAAGGGCAAUAAAAAGCAAAGAGUUUUAUGAAAUAAACUUUAAUCUCGAAAGUUUUUUUUAAUAAUUUGAUCACCACAAUAAAUUCAAUGGGAGAUAUUGUAAGUGACGUGGAACACACUUGUGGGUGUAUCGCUUUGUAAUUUCCAGUUCAUCAAUAAUUUCUUCUCCCUUGCCAUAUUUUCCACUGAAAAGACAACGGAAAAGCGUAUGUGAGAGACUCACCAAGUUUCCAUAAUGGAGGGCCAACUUUGACGAAGAGAUGAGAAGACUAUGGAUCAGUACCCGUAACAACCACGGGAACAAGUCAAACAAGUAUGGUCCUUCAAUGAGCCUGGUCAAGUUCCUAUCAAUCCCAUUUUUCUGAAGUUCUGUUGGAUCUGAGACAUACUUAGUUUGUUGUUAAGAGUAAUUCAAUCUGAUUUUUUUUUUUUUUGACAGCACUAAAAAGCAUUAAUUUAAUGUUUUUUCAUACCAAAUAUAUUUUUAAAACUCACCUAAACACACAGUUUUGACCACAAAAAUUAACGUACUCAAAAUGACUACCCAGAAUGCUACUAGGCUCCAGAGGGAGAGAAAUAGCAUUGACAAGGUACUAAAAGUCGCUACUAAACAAAAUUUGGGUGCGCCAGAAAAUAGUUAUAAAAGAUAGAGCAUGAUCAUGCCUCUACCCAGAAUGUAAGGUUACCAAGAAAACUGUCACAAAAUGGCUUAAACAGAACAUCUCUUUUCCUAUGAUCAACGCCUAAUAUUUCAGACAAGUGGAUUGAAUAACUUAAGAGCUUUAAAUAGGUUGAGAGUUUUUGGUAAACAAUUCUCAAUGGAUUAUUAUCUGAAAUUAUCUCUGACAUUAUCUCAUCCCUCAACUUCCUACGUUCCCUCUAUUAGAGAAGUCUCCCGAUUCCCUAUCAUGCAUUUUUGUAACAGCUUCAGUUUGUUUAAAUUUUGAAUUUGUAUUUUAAGCUGCACACUUAUCCUCAGGGAUAAGCUUCUAGUCUGUUACAAUCCCUUGUAUUUAUAUCAGUUAAUCUAAUGAGAAGAAGUGUGGCAUAUUUCCUCUUCUCUGUUUCUCUGCUCCUCUCAUUGCUUUUACCCUCAAGACUCUUGCAUUCUCCUUUCUUUGCUUUCUCUCUUUCUUCUAACCUUGCUUGCUUCUUUUCUUCAGCUUUCCUGCAUGUUUUCUCUCCUCUACUAUCAUGAUAUUUUGCCCCGUGCUCACCCCUCUUAGCUGACCUCCCCUUUGCUCUCCAUCAGAAGAACUAUCCUCAGAGGAACUAAUCCUAAAAACAUCCUCCAGAACCAGCUAUGCUCAAGAAACAGAUGCUAACAUCUUGCAAGCAAAAAUUACAACCCUGAACAACUAGAUUUCCCAGAAAUCCAGCCAACAUUUACUAACCAAAAGCUAGGAAAAUGAUUAGCUGAGAGUAAAAAAUUAAAUUUACUAAAUCAAGAUUAAUGGGCAGUGAUUAGUACCUAAUCAAGAAGAUUAAUGAAUAAUUAUCCAUAAUCAAAUGCUUUCACAUACAUAAAUUUGUUCCAAUUUGACCAAGAAAAUAAAUAAAAACUCAAAUUCAAUCUUAAUCACAAUGUCAAAAAUUAAAUAAUAAAAACUGGAUUAAAAAUAAAUUCAUAAUUAUUCAACAGACUCCAUGAAUCCAACCCAACUCAGAAAAACCAUAAAGAGGAGACACAGGACUCUCUACAUUACAAAGCAAACACUGCAGCAGCAACUAUACCAACUGACCCCGCCACAUUAUUAUGCAUAAACCAAACUGCACUGGAUAUAUCCACAGGAGCCACAGGACUCUCAACAUUAGCCGCAGGAACCGCCUUUGCAGGUUUUUCUGGUGCAGGUGCCACUGGUGCUGGAGCUGGAGCAUUAGAAGCAAAAAUGUCCUUAGGGAGGAGAACCUUUUCAAUCUUAUAAAUGGCAAGCUGGUUGUCUGUGUAUACGGUGCCAGAUAAACUUGUAUUGGU